rnacentral:rRNA from 1 species
CCUACGGGUGGCAGCAGUGGGGAAUAUUGGACAAUGGGGGAAACCCUGAUCCAGCGACGCCGCGUGAAGGAAGAAGGAUUUCGGUAUGUAAACUUCUAUCAGCAGGGAAGAAAAGGACGGUAUCUGACUAGGAAGCUCCGGCUAACUACGUGCCAGCAGCCGCGGUAAUACGCAGGGGGCAAGCGUUAUCCGGAUUUACUGGGUGUAAAGGGAGUGUAGGCGGUUUAGCAAGUCAGAAGUGAAAGGCCGGGGCUCAACUCCGGGACUGCUUUUGAAACUGUUGAACUAGAGUGCAGGAGAGGUAAGUGGAAUUCCUAGUGUAGCGGUGAAAUGCGUAGAUAUUAGGAGGAACACCAGUGGCGUAGGCGGCUUACUGGACUGUAAAUGACGCUGAGGCUCGAAAGCGUGGGGAGCAAACAGGAUUAGAUACCCCAGUAGUC